GAUGAAGACGUAGUGAACGUGCGAAACGUAAUGUGAAUUGCAGAAUUCAGUGAAUCAUCGAAUCUUUGAACGCAUCUUGCGCUCCUUGGUAUUCCGAGGAGCAUGCCUGUUUGAGUGUCGUGAAUACUCUCAACUUCAACCCUUUUUUCGGAAAGGGAGGAAGGUUGGACUUGGGUGUUUGUUGAAGUGCGAGCUUCGACUCAUCCUAAAUGCAUUAGCGAUCUGCCUCGAUCACACACAAUGUGAUAAUUAAAACUAAAGCAUUGUUUAAUGAUCAAGUCGAGACUGCUUCUAACUGUCGCAAGACAAUAACGUGCAUACAUUUGUGCAUGUCAUUUGACCUCAAAUCAGGUAGGACUACCCGCUGAACUUAAGCAUAUCAAUAAGCGGAGGA
rnacentral:misc_RNA from 1 species